rnacentral:snRNA from 1 species
GUGCUGACUUCAAUAGCACAUAUACUAAAAUUGGAACAAUACAGAUAAGAUUAGCAUAGCCCCUGCAGAAGGAUGACACACAAAUUUGUGAAGUAUUCCAUACUUUU